GAUGAACGCUGGCGGCGUGCCUAACACAUGCAAGUCGAGCGAUUUACUUCGGUAAAGAGCGGCGGACGGGUGAGUAACGCGUGGGUAACCUGCCCUGUACACACGGAUAACAUACCGAAAGGUAUGCUAAUACGAGAUAAUAUACUUUUAUCAAAUGGUAGAAGUAUCAAAGCUUUUGCGGUACAGGAUGGACCCGCGUCUGAUUAGCUAGUUGGUAAGGUAACGGCUUACCAAGGCGACUAUCAGUAGCCGACCUGAGAGGGUGAUCGGCCACAUUGGAACUGAGACACGGUCCAAACUCCUACGGGAGGCAGCAGUGGGGAAUAUUGCACAAUGGGCGAAAGCCUGAUGCAGCAACGCCGCGUGAGCGAUGAAGGCCUUCGGGUCGUAAAGCUCUGUCCUCAAGGAAGAUAAUGACGGUACUUGAGGAGGAAGCCCCGGCUAACUACGUGCCAGCCGCCGCGGUAA
rnacentral:rRNA from 1 species